GACGAACGCUGGCGGCGUGCUUAACACAUGCAAGUCGAACGGAAAGGCCCUGCUUGCAGGGUACUCGAGUGGCGAACGGGUGAGUAACACGUGGGUGAUCUGCCCUGCACUUCGGGAUAAGCCUGGGAAACUGGGUCUAAUACCGGAUAGGACCAUCGUUUAGUGUCGGUGGUGGAAAGUUUUUCGGUGCAGGAUGAGCUCGCGGCCUAUCAGCUUGUUGGUGGGGUAAUGGCCUACCAAGGCGUCGACGGGUAGCCGGCCUGAGAGGGUGGACGGCCACAUUGGGACUGAGACACGGCCCAGACUCCUACGGGAGGCAGCGGUGGGGAAUAUUGCACAAUGGGCGCAAGGCUGAUGCAGCGACGCCGCGUGGGGGAUGAAGGCCUUCGGGUUGUAAACUCCUCUCAACCAUGACGAAGCAUUAUGUGACGGUAGUGGUAGAAGAAGCACCGGCUAACUACGUGCCAGCCGCCGCUGUAA
rnacentral:rRNA from 1 species